AUGGGGUCACAGAGCCAGACACCACUGAGGCAACUGCUCAUUUCCAAGCAACUCACUACAGCUCUCAGGAGGAGGAGGGAGGAAGAUGGAGUAAUGGGGAGGGGACCCCAGGGGGGUUGGGAGAGGGCAGAGACUGAGCAGAGGGGAGGGCUGAGGUCCAACCCAGUGGCGGCCGCCCUUUCCCCCUGUGAUGACCGCACCCAGUAUGGCCCUCUUCACGCCUCCCCUGCAAGGAGCACCUGCAGGAGCUGGGCCCAGUGGGUGAACACCGGCCCCCACUCUUGUGCCGAUCAGAGUUCUGUCCCUGCAGGAGUGCCUCGUGGGUGCCACAGGGGGUCCCGCAAGUCGCUCUGCAGGGCGCUAUCUCUGGUUCCCCGUGUCCUCCUCACCGAGAUCCCCAUCCUGGCCGGUGUCCAGCUCUGGACCUCAGGUCAGCCUGCAGUCAGCACUGAGCCCAUAGGGCAGCUAAAGAGGCCGUGCAGCCUGGGGAGGGACAGGCCCCCACCUUGUUCUGAGCCUUCCCUGGGACCCGUGCCCCCUGCCCGCUGGGUCAGAGCCUUUUGGAGGUGUGGGCAGCACCCCUCCCCGAGUACGUGCACUCAGACAUGGCCUGCUACAAGGGAUGCUAGGAAUCAGAGUCUUGGGUCUCAGGAGGCCAUGCGGACUGGGCCAAGGCUGGAAGCCAAGCUGGCAAGGGGGUCCUUGGAAGGAGAAGCAGCUGACCCUGGAGGAGGGACAGGACAGACACAGCUGUGGCCAAGGCUGCAGGGGAGGGGCCGUGAGAGCGACAGGGCUCAGGCUCAGGAGGACGAGGUCCAGCAGAUUCCAUUUGUCCCUGAAUGCCAGGCACCACCUCCUCAUUGUCUCCCACCCCUCCCCACUUGGCCAGGCCCAGGGUCACUGCAGACCGCCCACCCUACAAGGCCUGGUGGGGAGGCCAGCCCCUACGCUGACUUAGGUGGAAACGCCAGCACUGGAAUUUUCACUCCAGAUGCCAAAUCCAAGAGGCUUCACAGCCACACUUCAGUUUUUUAA
ensembl:lncRNA